UACGUAGGGGGCUAGCGUUGUCCGGAAUCAUUGGGCGUAAAGAGCGUGUAGGCGGUCCGGUAAGUCCGCUGUGAAAGUCGGGGGCUCAACCCUCGAAUGCCGGUGGAUACUGUCGGGCUAGAGUGCGGAAGAGGCGAGUGGAAUUCCUGGUGUAGCGGUGGAAUGCGCAGAUAUCAGGAGGAACACCGAUGGCGAAGGCAGAUCUCUGGGCCGUAACUGACGCUGAGGAGCGAAAGCCAGGGGAGCAAACGGG
rnacentral:rRNA from 1 species